rnacentral:lncRNA from 1 species
GGCCUCAUUUUUCCUUGUUCGGGGUUUGAGGUGCCACCUUACAAAAGGAUGGGUGUACGCUCUCUUUUCAGAAUGUGGUUCAUCUCAAAGCCCUUUACACUUUGGAGCCAGGCCUGUUCAAUUUUACAAAUAACACGUUUUGCUUGUAGUCAGGGUGCUGUGACAACAUGAAGAGUUCGAGCUACCUCCCAGGAUGAGUGCAGGUUUUCCUGGUGACAAAUCUCAGGCAUUCAAAGGUUCUGUUAGCAGUGCCAUACUUGUGGGUUUACAGAGAUGGUGUGUCUGGCUGAGAACAAAGGAGCCGUACCAGGAAAGUUGAAGCAUAUCUUCAUUUUCAAGUCCAGGCUAAAAUAAGGUGAGAAAACUUAGAUGAAAAGUAUGCUGAACUAUAAUUUCCCCAUGAAGAAAUGUUCACACGUCCUACUUCCUGUCCUAGCUCCAGAGCCUGAAAAGGUGAACCCACUGGGGCUGGCUGGGGGAAAAGAGGAAACUUUGUUCCAGAAGGAACUGUCUGAGGGAUCAUUUUUGUGCGUAGAAAGGGAAGAAUUCUCACUUGAUUAAAGAGGAAUCAAAAGGUGAUUUACUUGUUUUACAGGUCUGAGGAAAAGAAUGAGCUGCGUGUGAAGGAUAGGAACAGAAAUCAUGAAAGAUCUGUUUGUCCAGGCCAGUGUUUCACCAUAAGAGAUCACUUUAAAAUAAAUGAUGAAAUAAUUCUUUGCAAUUGCAAAUUUACCUUCCUUGCUUACCACAUUGUUAACUGUAGGAGCUGAUACCUGGUUCUUCCACUGUUAACUUGUACUCUGUGUUUGUUCUAGCAAUAAAUGCUCUUUAUGCUA